GGGCGAGUGGCGGAACUGGCAGACGCACUGGCUUCAGGAGCCAGCGAGAGCAAUCUCAUAAGGGUUCAACUCCCUUCUCGCCCA
rnacentral:tRNA from 1 species